rnacentral:rRNA from 1 species
CACGCAGGCGGUCGUGUAAGUUUGGGGUUACAGCUCCCGGCUCAACUGGGAGAGCGCCUUGAAGACUGCAGGACUUGAGGGCCAGAGAGGGACACAGAAUUCCGGGUGUAGUGGUGAAAUGCGUAGAUAUCCGGAGGAGUACCAAAGGCGAAGGCAGUGUCCUGGCUGGUGACUGACGCUGAGGUGCGAAAGCUAGGGGAGCGAACGGGAUUAGAUACCCCGGUAGUCCUAGCCGUAAACGAUGACCACUAGGUGUGGGAGGUAUCGACCCCUUCCGUGCCGCAGCUAACGUGAUAAGUGGUCCGCCUGGGGAGUACGGUCGCAAGAUUAAA